GAGGAGUCAGUUUUGGGGUCGGAAAUUGGCAAACAUAGGAGGCUGAGUACGACAAUCUGGCACCGUGUUUACACUCUCCAACGGGGCACAUGUACAGCAAGAGCAAGAGCAAGAGCGGGUGGCGGUCAGCUGUUCCUAAGACUCCGAGGCCACAGGAGGGAAUUAUAGCCGAGGCAAGGACCAGUGGGUGUGUUGCUGUGCCUGUCAUGGUGUGCAGGGCAGCCUAUGCAGUGCUUGAGGCGGCCCGCUGCUGCCUUAUCCGGCCCUGACGUGGACAGCUCAGCACCAGACACAGCCGCCACAACCACGAAAACACACACACACACACGCAUACACCCAGUGACAAGAUGGCGCGUCAGAGGCGGGUCCGCGGUGCCCCGUUCUCCUCACACCAGCACCACCACCACCACCACAACGACCUCUCCCAGCUGGAUGACGCGCAAGGGCUGUGUCGGCCCGGGGGGGAAGGCAGCAGCGGCAAGGUGUCCGGCCGGCGUCACCAGAAUCAGCGGAA